GGCUGGAGAAAGACUUUAAAUCAAUGAAUUAUUAUGAAUAUAUUGAAAUAAUCUAAUGCUAAUCUACAUUAAAUAAAAAAAAAAAUCAAGAUGUGUCAUAUUUCUUUGUAUUUUCCCUCAAUACAUUGUUUUUAUUUUCGAGAACAUACAGUUUUGGAAUACAGAACUUCUUCUGGAAUCCCAAAAUGAAUUAAGGUUUAUUAAUUUUGUGUCAGUUUCAUUCAAAAAUCUUGUUGGACAAGGGGUAUUUGAGUCAGAAGACACUAGCAACAUCCUGGGAACCAUUCACAACCCCUUAGUAUUGUAAUGGCAAGUUUUGCACUGGCAAGGACUGUUGCUGAGAAAAUGUACAAGUUACAGUUCAGUCAUUUUGACACCUUUCGUUUGUGUUUUCAGAUGGUGAACCUGUUGGAUAGCAGAUACAAUUUAGAAGACAAAGGUGGACCAAUACACAUUCUAGACGUCUGAUGUAGUCCUGCCACCAUCACCUGCUGAAUCCCUCUCUUCAUGUUCCCCAGCCCCCACCGACGGCACCACAGAUUGAGUCACACCAGAUGUGGAGCCUUGCAGUAGGGAAGACUAAUUGUUUUUCACUGCUACAACCUCAUU
ensembl:lncRNA